rnacentral:rRNA from 1 species
UCGAACGGCAGCGCGGGGCAACCUGGCGGCGAGUGGCGAACGGGUGAGUAAUAUAUCGGAACGUACCCAAGAGUGGGGGAUAACGCAGCGAAAGUUGCGCUAAUACCGCAUACGAUCUAAGGAUGAAAGCAGGGGACCGCAAGGCCUUGUGCUCCUGGAGCGGCCGAUAUCUGAUUAGCUAGUUGGUGAGGUAAAGGCUCACCAAGGCGACGAUCAGUAGCUGGUCUGAGAGGACGACCAGCCACACUGGAACUGAGACACGGUCCAGACUCCUACGGGAGGCAGCAGUGGGGAAUUUUGGACAAUGGGCGCAAGCCUGAUCCAGCAAUGCCGCGUGAGUGAAGAAGGCCUUCGGGUUGUAAAGCUCUUUUGUCAGGGAAGAAACGGCUGUGGCUAAUAUCCACGGCUAAUGACGGUACCUGAAGAAUAAGCACCGGCUAACUACGUGCCAGCAGCCGCGGUAAUACGUAGGGUGCAAGCGUUA